rnacentral:lncRNA from 1 species
UUUAAAUAGUUAGUAUGCUCUUCUAAUUACUCCUUUAAGCUAGGGUGCUCCAUAUAAUGCGACUGAAUCUAAAAAUCUUGCUUUAAUUAUUAGCAUCCUUUAUUAGCAUGUCUGCCUAUUUAAUAAGUUGAAUAACAUUUGUUUGCUAUGGGUUUUAAGUGUCAAAUAGCAGCUUAAACGGUCUUUAUUUUAGCAUGACUUGGAUUUAGUGUCUUUGGAGUUUGUAUCCCUUUGUUCAGGUCCAUAUUGUUUAAGUUCAACCGAGUUAUUUACUUUGUAUUGAUUUAGGGGCUGUUAUGAUUCGCUUUAGAGAUGUUGUUGCUUUAUUAUUCUAUGGUACUAAUUCUUAUUAUCAUUUUGUUGCAUGUGAAAUUUUUCUGAGUUCACCAUGAACUCCUUUUUCCUCGCAUUUUGAGAAAGCCGUAAAGGCUUAAAUCUCUCAUUUCGAAUCAGCCAGUCGUGAAAUCAAAGAGCAGGUCCUAAAAAUUGACGAACAUGUGUUUGGAGCUAAUACAAGAUUGUAUACACUAGUAUACACCUAGUGUAUACAAAAUGGAAAUGGGCCAAAAGUGUCACGCCCCGAGCCUACACCCUGGGUGGGACUGGCACUCGAAGACCGUUGCUGGCCCCAAGUGAACUCUUGGUCUAACUUACUUAACUCAGCGGAAGACUUAACUCAUCGCAUAAACAUUUAUGAAGAAACUUGAAUGUCAUAAAGGAACAUUCAAUUGCCAUUUAGGCAAACUCAAGUCUUUAACAUAAGAAAUGAAAAGUAAAGACAAUUGAAAUAACUAACUAGUCUGUCUGUCUAUGAAGCCUCUAAAACAACUGAGAUAGAUGUUGGGACAAAACCCCCACAACAUCCUAAUGGACUAAACUAGAAAGCAAUGAAAAUAGAUCCUCCGGAAUGCAAGAAGGCUCAUCGACUGACUCUGAAUUGCUCACUGGAUCAAUGGUGCGCUGAAAUGCCGAUCCUAGUUACCUGUGUCUGCAUCAUAAGACAAUACAGGCCAACUGGCAUCAGUACAUUGAAUGUACGAGUAUGCGAGUUGGAAUGCUAAAACAACAUAGGCUUGAAAAGGAAUCUGAAAGAAACUGAAGAACUUACUUGGCUCAGCUCAACUCAACUCAACAUAAUUGAACUCAUUUCAAUAUAAAACAAUUUAAAACAAGUGCAAUAUAAAGAAAAGCUAUUUAAAANNNNNNNNNNNNNNNNNNNNNNNNNNNNNNNNNNNNNNNNNNNNNNNNNNNNNNNNNNNNNNNNNNNNNNNNNNNNNNNNNNNNNNNNNNNNNNNNNNNNNNNNNNNNNNNNNNNNNNNNNNNNNNNNNNNNNNNNNNNNNNNNNNNNNNNNNNNNNNNNNNNNNNNNNNNNNNNNNNNNNNNNNNNNNNNNNNNNNNNNNNNNNNNNNNNGCCAAAGGUAUAGGACCUGAACUACUAAUGGAUCCACAAGUAUAUGUGAAAAGGGUUCAUCUAAAAAGUAUGAACCUUUUCUAUCCAUGAUGGCUACAUGGUUUAUGGGGGGUGUGAGUUGUUUGAACUCUCCCCCAUAUUGGUGCUCAAUACUACUCCCAAAAUAUACUAGCUCUUAUGUUUUAAAACAUACUUCUUCUGUGAUUUGAGAUUAGUGCUCAAAAAACUUAGCUCAAAGGUUAUCUUGGAAAUCUCAGUUUCCCUGCUUUCUUCAUUUAGAAAGCUAAUACCCUUUUCUGAAACUAGCCCAAAUGUUCUUUGGAAAUCUCAGUUUCCGUUCUUAUUUAAAUGUGAAAAUAUUUUAAAUCUCUUUGGGAAUACUUAGUCCCCAUAUACUUUUGAAGAAAUGAACUUCAAACUUUACUCUUUACUCAUUACUCAACUUGAACUUUAAGUCUUAAAAACAAAGUUAAAAGCAUUUGCAAAAGACUUCUUGAAAAGACUCUAAGAACUUCUUAGACUUGGCUCUUGACUUUCCUUGAAUUUAAAUUUAGGAAUUCAAGGUUAUGGUUUAUGUUUCUGGAUGAUUUCUAGAUGUUUAGAAGUCAUUUAGAGUAGUUAGAAUCAAUGGAAAGUGUUAAUACACUUUAAAAUAACUUAAACGGACUGAAUGACAAAAACUGGGUGAAAAAUGACUAUUUGGGCGCAUCCGGGGCGCGCCGCGCCAGCCCUUACCUUUCUAGGGCUCUAUUCUGGCACGCCGCCCCUGCCUUCCUGGCGCAAUAGGGGCGCGUCGAGCCAGCCUUCCCACAGACACAAACUAACGAAUUUUUGACCUCAUUUUCUAAUCCUAAAUCAUUUUAAUCAUAUUCUUUUUCUCAAAUUUACUUUAGAUUCAUGUACUUAAAUUAUAUACACAAAAAUCUAACCCAAACAACUCAAGGAAACAACACUUUAACAUCAAGAAGAUCCUUAAUCCCAUCUCAUAUUCAAGAACGAAAUCAACUCAAGAACCACAUUCAUAUUACAUUCAAAAUCCAAUCUUUUGGAGAUGAAAUCACUGAAUCAAACAUGCUUGGCACGUGGGUGAACGAACCCAACGUUGAGAUAGACUCACAUACCUUAAUUGAUUGAAUCCUCAGCGAAAUUCGCAAGCAAUUCCUUAUGACGACGACGAAUCUAGCUUUUUCCUCCUUUCUCUUUUCUUGCGUUCUUCCUCCAAAACCCUAGCUCUAUUUGGUACUCCCUCCGUCCCUAUUUACUUGUCCAUAUUUCCUUUUUUGGUUGUCCCUAUUUAGUUGUCCAUUUUGACAAAUCAAGAAAGGACAACAAAUUUUUUCCUAUUAUACCCUUAUUUACACUUCUUGAAAAAUUGUAAAAAGUGUAUGUUGUUUCCCUCCAAUUUAUUUCACUUGAAUUCAAAUAAGUGGUUGUAAUUUUAAAGUGAAAAGUUGUCAUAAGGGUAAAAUUGUAACUUCACUGUGCUAAUCAUUGUUGCCUUAAUCUGUGUGCCAUUUCUAAAGUGGACAACUAAAAAGGGACGGAGGGAGUAAAUGUCUACCCCUAAACGAAAUAAAUUCGGAUAGAACAAUUGGGUAAGAAAAGGACCAAACUACCCUUUAAAAAUUCGGAUAGAACUUUCCUUAUUCCAACAACCCAACUUCCAAAGGGAAUAACUCACUCAUACAAACUCGGAAUCGCGCAAAAUUGGUGGCGUUGUAAAGUCGUUCCAAGAGCUUUCCAACCAUAUUUGAAAUUACACCUAAAUCAUCCUAAUCUAGGAGUUAUGGUCGUUUGAAGUUAACCAGAAACUCACUAUUUUCUAACUUAGCCAAUUCCCGGAUUUUUUUUAUUUCUUUCCAAAAAUGACUAUUCCCAAUUUUAACUUUUUUCUUAGUUAUUUCAAAUUGCGAGAUGUUACAAAAAGACCCCAAAUUCAGCAUUGUAUUUUGUUAUUUUGGGCCUAAGCUCACUUAUUUGCUAUUACUUGUUAGUUCUUAGGACAGGUGGAAAAUUGGGCCUAAGACCCAGAGAACCUUUUUUUUAUGUUAGUUUAGGACAGUUGCAGGCGACUCAAAUAGGCUAAAGGGCCAAAACAAAAAUGGGCCCAAAUACUGGCCCAGACGAACAGGAAAAUCAGAUUUGGGCCCAAGUCUCUUUCCCUCUUUGUUUUAUGGAAAAAUUACAGAAAUCUCACAUUUUAGUUUAUUUAUUACCAUUAUUCCCUAUAAGUUUUACAAAUUUCCAAAAUCCCUCAUUUUCGGGCAUCAGAUUAGUGUAUCAACACUUAUAUUAUUGUAUCUCAUACAUCAGAUUAAUGUAUCAACACAUAUAUUAUUGUAUCUCGCGCAUCAAAUUAAUGUAUCAACGCUUAUAUCAUUGUAUCUCGCGCAUGUAUCAGCGCUUAUAUUAUUGUAUCUGUUUGAGGGAUUUCUGUAAUCAUAAACUUUUAAGGGAUAGAUUGUAAUUUUGCUUUAAAAGUAUGUGAUUUCUGUAAUUUGCCCUUGUUUUAUUGUGUUCGUUUACUUGUCAAUAUCUGCUAUUUAACCUCAAGGUUUUAAAAAUUCAAAUCCCCGAAAGAUAUCCAUUUUGAAUUAAUUGCUUAACUAAAUUAUUCCUCUUUUACUUGACUUAAUACAUAAAUAAAUAAAUAAGUUUACAAAAUAUUUCACUUAGAUAAUAUUUCAAUAUUUUUCUUUUUCUCCCUUAAAAUGGUCCUAACUAUAAAAUAGUUCAGUUUUGCAAUUCAAGCUAAGUUAAAAUUAUUUUAGCCAAAUAAUUAACUGCCGGAUAACCGCGUAUUAGCGGGCAUUUCAGAUGCUUUCAAACCCUUCCUGAAAUGCUAAUAAGAACCCCGAACCCUUUUUAAGUUUUCAUUAGAUUUUCUGUUUUAGUCUUUUGAAAACAAUAGUUUUCUUAAUUUUACUUUAAAAAUUAAGUGGCGACUCUAAACCAGUCUAAUCAUAUUUUUAAAAUAAAAUAACUCUUAACGACACAAACUGAAAAUAAAAGUCUCAAAACCCAAACCAACCAUCCUAUGAGAUCAAAACUGAACUUAUAUGGCUAACCGCAGUGACAAAAUUUCAAUUCGAGCACGAUUAUCAAAAAUAUUGACUAAAGUAAAAUUUUGGCCAAAACUUAAAAGUUAAAAUACCUAACAACACAAACUAAAAAUGGAAGCCUCAAAACCCGAACCCUCUAUCUUAUUACAUAAAAAAUGACCUUCCGCAUCUAAUUGCAUUGACGAAAUUCUCAUCUGAGCACAUUUAUCAAAUAUAUUGACUGAAGUUAAAUUUUGGCCAAAAUUUACAAGUUAAAACAUCUAACGACACACAAUAAAAAUGAAAGCCUCAAAAUCCAAACUAACCAUCCUGUUAGAUAAAAAAUGACCUUUGGAGUUAAUUACGCUGACAUAAUUCACAUCUGAGCACGUUCACAAAAAUAUUGACCAAAGUCAAAUUUUGGCCCAAACAUAAGAUUUUAAACACCUAACGGCACAAACAAAAAACGGAAGUGUCAAAACUUGAACCAACCUUCAUGCUAGAUAAAAAAUGACCUUUCGAGGCUAAUGACACCGACACAGUUCUAAUCUGAGCACGUUUACCAAAAAUAUCGAUCAAAGUCAAGUUUUGGCUAAAAUUUAAAAGUUAAAACGCCUAACGACACAAACUGAAUAUGAAAGCCUCAACACUAGACACCGAUUUACCAAAAGUUUAACUUCAAUUGAUAAAUUUACCAACUAUUCAAAUAUAAGUUAGUAAUUAAUAAUUUACCAAUAAAUUUUAUCACAGUUGGUAAUAGUUAUUAUUCAACUAAACAUUUAUAUGUAAUAUUACCAACUAAUAAUUAAUAUGUUGGUAAAUUUUACCAAUGAAUUAAUGAUUGGUUGGUAUAUUACCAACUAUUUAAUGAUGUUAGUAAUUUACUAACUAAAAUCUUUAUUCGUCGGCAAACUUUUCAACUAAUUGGAUAUUGGUUGGCAAGUUUACCAACAAAUUACAUUUCGUUACUAAUUUACCAACACAUUUAUAUUUGGUUGGUAAAUUUAGCAACACAAUCUUGCCGUUGGUAAAUGUUUGGUUAGUAAUUCAUUGGUAAUAUGUUAAUAAAUUAUAUAAACAAUUUUUUGUCAUAUUUACCAAUCGAUAUAUACUUCGUUGGUAAUAUUACCAACAAAAGGUGUGCGUUAGUAAUAUUUCAGUUGGUAAUCCAUUGAUAGAAUGUUGCUAAAUUUGGCGCCAUUUUUUCCCGCCGUAUUUACCAACUAAAAUACUUAGUUAGUAAGAUUUUGGUUGGUAAUCUGUUAGAAUUUCGUUGUUAAGUUUUAAAAUAUAAUUCAGUUAGAAAUAUGUUGGUAAUUUGUUAGUAGAAUACUAACCAGCUUAAGUUGUUAGUAAAAUCUGUUGGCAAUUUGGGGUUUUUUUUUAGUGAAUGGGAAAUAUACACCUUAACCAUUAUUUACUAAUAUUAAUAUGCUCCCAAACCAACAACUAAUGCUAAGAAAAUUCUGAUUCAUAGCAUUGAUCAAUCAAUUUUAUUUUAUUUUUGUAUUAUUAUAUAAACAUUUUGUCUUAAUUGGAGGAGUUUACUGAUUGGAAUCUAAAAUUGUUAAGAUUGUUUUUAACAAGGCUAAAAAUAGAAGGUGUCCUAAGGAAAUUGGGAGAGGUACUAGCAAUAUAGCCUAGGCCAUAGCAGCUUAUUUUGGAACCAAAUGGUGGGUGAGAAAUGACUAUUCAAACUUUAUUUUAGAAUGUGAUUUCCUGAUUAUAAUUAAUAUGAUCAAGGAUAUAUCUCAAAUGGCCUGGAAAUUGCUGCAAAGAAAGAAUAUAUUCUGAGUCACUAGCUAUGAUU